rnacentral:rRNA from 1 species
GACGAACGCUGGCGGCGUGCUUAACACAUGCAAGUCGAACGGAAAGGCCCUGCUUUUGUGGGGUGCUCGAGUGGCGAACGGGUGAGUAGCACGUGAGUAACCAGCCCUUGACUUUGGGAUAACUUCAGGAAACUGGGGCUAAUACCGGAUAGGGGCUCCUGCUGCAUGGUGGGGGUUGGAAAGUUUCGGCGGUUGGGGAUGGACUCGCGGCUUAUCAGCUUGUUGGUGGGGUAGUGGCUUACCAAGGCUUUGACGGGUAGCCGGCCUGAGAGGGUGACCGGCCACAUUGGGACUGAGAUACGGCCCAGACUCCUACGGGAGGCAGCAGUGGGGAAUAUUGCACAAUGGGCGGAAGCCUGAUGCAGCAACGCCGCGUGCGGGAUGACGGCCUUCGGGUUGUAAACCGCUUUCGCCUGUGACGAAGCGUGAGUGACGGUAAUGGGUAAAGAAGCACCGGCUAACUACGUG